UUCUUAUGAGAACAACUAAUUUUUUUUCAGUUCCCUGAUCACUCCAUAUUUAUUCUUACAAUUAUCUUAACACUAGUAACAUAUUUUACAUUCUUACUCAUAACAAACAAAUUUUCUUCACUAAAAAUUACUGAAAGA